rnacentral:rRNA from 1 species
UACAGAGGUUUCAAGCGUUGUUCGGAUUCAUUGGGCGUAAAGGGUGCGUAGGUGGCGCGCUAAGUCAGGUGUGAAAUUUCGGAGCUUAACUCCGAAACUGCAUUUGAUACUGGCGUGCUUGAGGACUGGAGAGGAGACUGGAAUUCAUGGUGUAGCAGUGAAAUGCGUAGAGAUCAUGAGGAAGACCAGUGGCGAAGGCGGGUCUCUGGACAGUUCCUGACACUGAGGCACGAAGGCCAGGGGAGCAAACGGG